rnacentral:rRNA from 1 species
UACGUAGGGCGCAAGCGUUGUCCGGAAUUAUUGGGCGUAAAGAGCUCGUAGGCGGCUUGUCACGUCGGAUGUGAAAGCCCGGGGCUUAACCCCGGGUCUGCAUUCGAUACGGGCAGGCUAGAGUGUGGUAGGGGAGACUGGAAUUCCUGGUGUAGCGGUGGAAUGCGCAGAUAUCAGGAGGAACACCGGUGGCGAAGGCGGGUCUCUGGGCCGUAACUGACGCUGAGGAGCGAAAGCGUGGGGAGCGAACAGG